GUGCUCGCUUUAGAGCACUUAUAAAAGUUGUAUACAGAUACAGAGAAGAUUAGCACAGCCCCUGUGCAAGGAUGACAUGGAGGUUCAUGAAGCAACAAGAGAAAAUAUUU
ensembl:snRNA Gm22208 predicted gene, 22208